rfam:Planomonospora sphaerica DNA, contig: NODE_75_L620_C115.
AGCCCGUGGCCCAACCCACUUGUGGGGGGGAGCGGUCGAAGGUGGGGCUGGCGAUUGGGACGAAGUCGUAACAAGGUAGCCGUACCGGAAGGUGCGGCUGGAUCACCUCCUUU